rnacentral:rRNA from 1 species
CUGCUCAAUGAAUAAUUUUAGAUAGCUGCAGUAUAAAUAACUGUACAAGGGUAGCAUAAUAAUUUGUUGUUUAAUUGAAAACUAGAAUGAAUGAUUAAAUGAAAUAUAAACUAUAUCACACUUACAAAAUAACUUUAUUAUUUAAAUAAAAAAAUUUAAAUAAUUUUUAAAGACGAGAAGACCCUAACGAAUUUUAAUAAUAAAUUAUAAUAUAAAUUUAUAACUUAUUAUAUUAAUUGGGGAAAUUUUAAAAUUUAGAAAAUUUUUAAUUAAAUAAACAUAUAUUUUUGAAUAUUUAAAAUUUUUUAAAAAAUUAAAUUAAAUUACCUUAGGGAUAACAGCAUAAUUUUUUUAAAAAG